CCUGACUUCCUGUUGUGUUAACUCCCAUAGGGAGCUUGCUCUAACCCUGUUGAUGGCAGCUGCACCUGUCCCAGGAGAAGAAUGGGCCCAACCUGUGAGAAGAAUGGCUUGGCUCCUCAUCAGCCAAAGACCCACAGCUCCUCAGAAACACCAAGACUCUGGAAACAUCAGAGAAGAUGGAAGAAGUGUGAGAUCCAGAGGGUAGAGAAGAGUGCUGUGAGAUGCUGCCUUCUGGACACUGCAUGACUAUCACAAUCAUGACCUCACCA
rnacentral:lncRNA from 1 species